ACUGCCACAAUGAUCUUUCACACUCAGCUUCUCUGGAUACUAUUUUUUUGGAUUCAAGACUCCGCUGGGCAGAAAUUGCUGACACAGACUCCAGAAUCUCUAUCGGUCUCUCCAGGAGACACAGUCACUAUUAAAUGCAGAGCCAGUGAAAGCGUUAGCAGCUACCUAGCUUGGUAUCAACAGAAAUCAGGACAAGCUCCUAAGCUCCUUAUCCACUCUGCUACCACCCGUCCCUCUGGGAUCCCAGACCGGUUCAGCGGCAGUGGGUCAGGCACUGAUUUCACUUUCACCAUCAGUAAGUUUGAAGCUGAAGAUGCUGGAGAUUAUUACUGCCAACAAGGCUACACUCCUCUCACAGUGAUACAGACCAAUACAAAAACCUCCCUGAGUGAGGGCACAGUGCUGAGCGUCUGUCACAGCUGCAUGUGCAACACCAGCUUCAAAGAUUUCAUAACAAACAAGAAAGAGGAAGUUAAUAAUACAACCCUCUGCCACUACUCCCACUGUCAUUUCUAG